UUCCCUGUGACAUUUGUGAGCCCUCCUUUCUAUUGGACGGCACUCAGCAGCAGCAGAGGUCACCACGUCUUCAUCACACAUUACAAAGAUACACAGGACAGAAGACUUCUCCAGGACUUCUUCGGAGAGUAGCAGGGAUGAUGGGAUGAAUGUGUGUGAAGUGUAUUGAUUGAACAAGACAAGAAAUAAGAGAGGAAAAAGAUGAGGAAAACACUUACAUGAUACCUGAACCACACGCAUAUGAGAAUCUCAAGAGUUUUGGAACAGUUUUGAGGUUAUGUAUGAUAAAUGAACAACAUAAAAUCAAGCAGAAAAGCCAUCAAGAUGUACAGAAAGAAGGACAGAAGCUUGGUCCUUUAAAAUCUCUGGAAAGCUAUUGCAAUACAAAGUCAUAUUUCACUCUGCUCAGCGCUUGGAUCUCCACACACAUCUCUGUGAGUCAAUAGGAUUGGGGAAGGAGAAUAUCCCCCUGAGCAUCCGGUGCUCAGAGCAAAGGGCUGUAUACUUGGAAAUCACUUUUAACCACAUUUCAGUCAUGUCACUGAAACCCUCUGGCUGGCAUCACAACCUUGUUUCUCAGUCAGACAAAUAAAGAUGGAGUGAGAUGCCUUUUCUGGAUGGCCAGUGGCACCGGACAACUGCUCUUCUAAUGACCUCAUGAUGAAUAAAACACCAGAAAUUUGUCAUGUGUUCAUCACCUUCCCCUUCAGGACCACUUAUAUUAAGGAAUAAGAGGAGUCAUGGAAAAUGCACCUAAAGGAAAAGGAAAGCUCAGAUUGAAAAGUUACAACAAACAGAGAUUAUCAAAAUGGUAUCUUUUAUUACCCUUAAAUACUUAAGAAAUGAAAUCCUCCAAGCAACAUGGUGCAAAGUAGAACAAAAUUUCCAGGAGUAGAUAAAUAAAUCUUAAGAUAGUUUACACGAAAGGGCGAAUAAACUUGGCUUAGUGUGAGGAGAAACUUUUCCCCUGGAGAAAAGGUUCAUUUGCAUGUUGGAUGACUAUCACUGCGAAAUCUGCUUUCAUUGGCAAUCAAAGCCCCCCGCACCUUUGCCAGUGUCUGGACCGGAAAUGAGAGUAUACUGUUCCACGGAAGGCUCUUGUGCGUGACUGAGCCCAAGAAUGGGUGUGCCUCAUUAAAGACUAGUCGGCAGGACGAGGAGAUUCACAUUAUGGUAACAAGCCAAUUAAAACCACGCGGAUAUCCAUGGGAUUCUGGCAGCUUCCUCCAGAGAGGUGGACUACAAAAGGCAGAGAGCAGCCUUGAUUGAUGGGCAGCUAGAUCCUUUGACGUUCCUUUCCCCACCCUCUCCAUGUCCCCAAGCUGAUGUGAACUGUACUUUUCUCUGGGCUCACCAUGGACCCCUGGCUGUGUGCCUUCCGGAUGUUCUAUGCUCCCAAUCCACAUCAAAUAGUUUGCAGCCCUAUCUUCUAGAAAUGUAGUUUCCAAUCUGAAACACGUUUGUUUGUUUUUUUCAUUGAGUGUAUUGGUACAUUUUAGGUACACAGUACAGUUAC